rnacentral:rRNA from 1 species
CGGCGCGUACGUGGGACUGAUGUAGGGUCCUUCCCGGAUUCUGUGUCGCAGCUAACGCAUUAAGUUCCCCGCCUGGGGAGUACGGCCGCAAGGCUAAAACUCAAAGGAAUUGACGGGGGCCCGCACAAGCGGCGGAGCAUGCGGAUUAAUUCGAUGCAACGCGAAGAACCUUACCAAGGCUUGACAUAUACCGGAAACGGCUGGAAACAGUCGCCCCGCAAGGUCGGUAUACAGGUGGUGCAUGGUUGUCGUCAGCUCGUGUCGUGAGAUGUUGGGUUAAGUCCCGCAACGAGCGCAACCCUCGUUCUUUGUUGCCAGCACGUAAUGGUGGGAACUCAAAGGAGAUUGCCGGGGUCAACUCGGAGGAAGGUGGGGAUGACGUCAAAUCAUCAUGCCCCUUAUGUCUUGGGCUUCACGCAUGCUACAAUGGCCGGUACAAUGGGCUGCAAUACCGUAAGGUGGAGCGAAUCCCAAAAAGCCGGUCUCAGUUCGGAUUGAGGUCUGCAACUCGACCUCAUGAAGUCGGAGUCGCUAGUAAUCGCAGAUCAGCAACGCUGCGGUGAAUACGUUCCCGGGCCUUGUACACACCGCCCGUCAAGUCAUGAAAGUCGGUAACACCCGAAGCCAGUGGCCCAACCGCAAGGAGGGAGCUGUCGAAGGUGGGAUCGGUAAUUAGGACUAA